UCAGACGAACGCUGGCGGCGUGCUUAACACAUGCAAGUCGAACGAUGAACCACUUCGGUGGGGAUUAGUGGCGAACGGGUGAGUAACACGUGGGCAAUCUGCCCUGCACUCUGGGACAAGCCCUGGAAACGGGGUCUAAUACCGGAUAUUGACCUUCACGGGCAUCUGUGAGGUUCGAAAGCUCCGGCGGUGCAGGAUGAGCCCGCGGCCUAUCAGCUUGUUGGUGAGGUAAUGGCUCACCAAGGCGACGACGGGUAGCCGGCCUGAGAGGGCGACCGGCCACACUGGGACUGAGACACGGCCCAGACUCCUACGGGAGGCAGCAGUGGGGAAUAUUGCACAAUGGGCGAAAGCCUGAUGCAGCGACGCCGCGUGAGGGAUGACGGCCUUCGGGUUGUAAACCUCUUUCAGCAGGGAAGAAGCGAAAGUGACGGUACCUGCAGAAGAAGCGCCGGCUAACUACGUGCCAGCAGCCGCGGUAAUACGUAGGGCGCAAGCGUUGUCCGGAAUUAUUGGGCGUAAAGAGCUCGCGGGGCUUAACCCCGGGUCUGCAGUCGAUACGGGCAGGCUAGAGUUCGGUAGGGGAGAUCGGAAUUCCUGGUGUAGCGGUGAAAUGCGCAGAUAUCAGGAGGAACACCGGUGGCGAAGGCGGAUCUCUGGGCCGAUACUGACGCUGAGGAGCGAAAGCGUGGGGAGCGAACAGGAUUAGAUACCCUGGUAGUCCACGCCGUAAACGGUGGGCACUAGGUGUGGGCAACAUUCCACGUUGUCCGUGCCGCAGCUAACGCAUUAAGUGCCCCGCCUGGGGGAGUACGGCCGCAAGGCUAAAACUCAAAGGAAUUGACGGGGGGCCCGCACAAGCGGCGGAGCAUGUGGGCUUAAUUCGACGCAACGCGAAGAACCUUACCAAGGCUUGACAUACACCGGAAACGGCCAGAGAUGGUCGCCCCCUUGUGGUCGGUGUACAGGUGGUGCAUGGCUGUCGUCAGCUCGUGUCGUGAGAUGUUGGGUUAAGUCCCGCAACGAGCGCAACCCUUGUCCCGUGUUGCCAGCAAGCUCCUUCGGGGGUGUUGGGGACUCACGGGAGACCGCCGGGGUCAACUCGGAGGAAGGUGGGGACGACGUCAAGUCAUCAUGCCCCUUAUGUCUUGGGCUGCACACGUGCUACAAUGGCCGGUACAAUGAGCUGCGAUACCGCAAGGUGGAGCGAAUCUCAAAAAGCCGGUCUCAGUUCGGAUUGGGGUCUGCAACUCGACCCCAUGAAGUCGGAGUCGCUAGUAAUCGCAGAUCAGCAUUGCUGCGGUGAAUACGUUCCCGGGCCUUGUACACACCGCCCGUCACGUCACGAAAGUCGGUAACACCCGAAGCCGGUGGCCCAACCC
rnacentral:rRNA from 1 species